rnacentral:rRNA from 1 species
GACGAACGCUGGCGGCGUGCUUAACACAUGCAAGUCGAACGAGGCCCCUUCUUCGGGAGGGUGUCCUAGUGGCGAACGGGUGAGUAACACGUGGGCAGCCUGCCCCCGGCUCGGGGAUAACUCCAAGAAAUUGGGGCUAAUACCGGAUAUGACCGCUGACCGCAUGGUCCGGUGGGGGAAAGAUUUAUCGGCUGGGGAUGGGCCCGCGGCCUAUCAGCUUGUUGGUGGGGUAGUGGCCUACCAAGGCGACGACGGGUAGCCGGCCUGAGAGGGUGACCGGCCACACUGGGACUGAGACACGGCCCAGACUCCUACGGGAGGCAGCAGUGGGGAAUAUUGCGCAAUGGGCGGAAGCCUGACGCAGCGACGCCGCGUGGGGGAUGACGGCCUUCGGGUUGUAAACCUCUUUCAGCAGGGACGAAGCGCAAGUGACGGUACCUGCAGAAGAAGCACCGGCCAACUACGUGCCAGCAGCCGCCGUAAGAC